rnacentral:rRNA from 1 species
AUGAACGCUGGCGGCGUGCUUCACACAUGCAAGUCGAACGAUGAAGCCCAGCUUGCUGGGUGGAUUAGUGGCGAACGGGUGAGUAACACGUGAGUAACCUGCCCUUGACUCUGGGAUAAGCCUGGGAAACUGGGUCUAAUACUGGAUAUGACUUCUCAUCGCAUGGUGGGGGGUGGAAAGAUUUAUUGGUCUUGGAUGGACUCGCGGCCUAUCAGCUUGUUGGUGAGGUAAUGGCUCACCAAGGCGACGACGGGUAGCCGGCCUGAGAGGGUGACCGGCCACACUGGGACUGAGACACGGCCCAGACUCCUACGGGAGGCAGCAGUGGGGAAUAUUGCACAAUGGGCGCAAGCCUGAUGCAGCGACGCCGCGUGAGGGAUGACGGCCUUCGGGUUGUAAACCUCUUUCAGCAGGGAAGAAGCGAGAGUGACGGUACCUGCAGAAGAAGCGCCGGCUAACUACGUG